GACGAACGCUGGCGGCGUGCUUAACACAUGCAAGUCGAACGGGUCUGCCCUGUUUUUUGCGGGGUGGGUCAGUGGCGAACGGGUGAGUAACACGUGAGUAACCUGCCCCUCACUUCUGGAUAACCGCUUGAAAGGGUGGCUAAUACGGGGUGUUCUGGCUGUGCCGCAUGGUGUGGCUGGGAAAGAUUCACUUUUGUGUUGUUUUGGGGGGGGAUGGGCUCGCGGCCUAUCAGCUUGUUGGGGGGGUGAUGGCCUGCCAAGGCUUUGACGGGUAGCCGGCCUGAGAGGGUGGGCGGUCACACUGGGACUGAGAUACGGCCCAGACUCCUGCGGGAGGCAGCAGUGGGGGGUAUUGCACAAUGGGCGGAAGCCUGAUGCAGCGACGUCGCGGGAGGGAUGGAGGCCUUCGGGUUGUGAACCUCUUUCGCCGGUGAAGAAGGUCCUGCUCUUUGUGGUGGGGUUGACGGUAGCCGGGUUAUGAAGCGCCGGCUAACUACGUG
rnacentral:rRNA from 1 species